UACGGGGGGGGCAAGCGUUGUUCGGAAUUACUGGGCGUAAAGGGCUCGUAGGCGGCCUAACUAAGUCGGAUGUGAAAAUCCCCCAGGCUUAACCUGGGAACUGCAUCCGAUACUGGAUGGCUUGAAUCCGGGAGAGGGAUGCAGAAUUCCAGGUGUAGCGGUGAAAUGCGUAGAUAUCUGGAGGAAUACCGGUGGCGAAGGCGGCAUCCUGGACCGGCAUUGACGCUGAGUGAGCGAAAGCCAGGGGAGCAAACGGG
rnacentral:rRNA from 1 species